GACGAACGCUGGCGGCGUGCUUAACACAUGCAAGUCGAACGGAAAGGCCCUGCUUUUGUGGGGUGCUCGAGUGGCGAAGGGGUGAGUAACACAUGAGUAACCUGCCCUUGACUUUGGGAUAACUUCAGGAAACUGGGGCUAAUACCGGAUAGGAGCUCCUGCUGCAUGGUGGGGGUUGGAAAGAUUCGGCGGUUGGGGAUGGACUCGCGGCUUAUCAGCUUGUUGGUGGGGUAGUGGCUUACCAAGGCUUUGACGGGUAGCCGGCCUGAGAGGGUGACCGGCCUCAUUGGGACUGCGAUACGGCCCAGACUCCUACGGGAGGCAGCAGUGGGGAAUAUUGCACAAUGGGCGGAAGCCUGAUGCAGCAACGCCGCGUGCGGGAUGACGGCCUUCGGGUUGUAAACCGCUUUCGCCUGUGACGAAGCGUGAGUGACGGUAAUGGGUAAAGAAGCACCGGCUAACUACGUG
rnacentral:rRNA from 1 species